UACGGAGGGUGCAAGCGUUAUCCGGAUUCACUGGGUUUAAAGGGUGCGUAGGCGGGCAGGUAAGUCCGUGGUGAAAUCUCUGAGCUUAACUCAGAAACUGCCAUGGAUACUAUUUGUCUUGAAUAUUGUGGAGGUAAGCGGAAUAUGUCAUGUAGCGGUGAAAUGCUUAGAUAUGACAUAGAACACCAAUUGCGAAGGCAGCUUACUACACAAAUAUUGACGCUGAGGCACGAAAGCGUGGGGAUCAAACAGG
rnacentral:rRNA from 1 species